rnacentral:tRNA from 2 species
GCCCCCUUGGCACAGUGGUAGCGCACUUCCUUGGUAAGGAAGAGGUCGUCAGUUCGAUUCUGACAGGGGGCUC